rnacentral:lncRNA from 10 species
GGAUUACAGGCAUGAGCCACCAUGCCCAACCUGGCAUUAGGCUUUUCAGUAUGAGGUUGGUGUUUAUGACUUCCAAACCUCCCGGAAGCUGCUGCUAUAACCAACUGGGACAUCUGCCUCUCAGUGUGGCAGCACACAGGGUGUGGGUGCUCAGAUCUCCAACUCACCACCUACUGCUGUCAAAAUGACAUGAGGAGUUGGGUUUUCAUUCACGCCAGUCUUUAGUUCAUUGUGCUUUCAAAGGUUUCCACCCAGGCUGGCAACAGUGGUAACGUUUUCCACCGAGUGCAGCACUGCAAUUUGUGUUGACAGAAUGGCUGAAUGACAUCGUCUGCACAGUGCCUAAAUUUCCUGAGACUGGUUGAUCUGAGAAUCAAAGUAAACCAUUGAAAGACUCUAAAGUGCAAAGCCUGAGGACCUUCUCAGACGCUACAGUCUCACUCUGUCACCCAGGCUGGAGCACAAUGACACCAUCUCAGCUGACUGCAACCUCUGCCUCCCGGGUUCAAGCAACUCACAUGCCUCAGCCUCCCAAGUAGCUGGGAUUACAGGUGUGCACCACCACACCCAGCUAAUUUUUCUAUUUUUUUAGUAGAGAUGGGGUUUCAUCAUGUUGGCCAGACUGGUCUCGAACUCCUGGCCUCAAGCGAUCUAUCUGCCUCAGCCUCCCAAA